rnacentral:rRNA from 1 species
GUGGGGAAUAUUGGACAAUGGGCGCAAGCCUGAUCCAGCCAUGCCGCGUGAGUGAUGAAAGCCUUAGGGUUGUAAAGCUCUUUCACCGAUGAAGAUAAUGACGGUAGUCGGAGAAGAAGCCCCGGCUAACUUCGUGCCAGCAGCCGCGGUAAUACGAAGGGGGCUAGCGUUGUUCGGAUUUACUGGGCGUAAAGCGCACGUAGGCGGUUUGUUAAGUCAGGGGUGAAAUCCCGGAGCUCAACUCCGGAACUGCCUUUGAUACUGGCAAGCUAGAGUCCGGAAGAGGUAAGUGGAACUCCUAGUGUAGAGGUGGAAUUCGUAGAUAUUAGGAAGAACACCAGUGGCGAAGGCGGCUUACUGGUCCGGAACUGACGCUGAGGUGCGAAAGCGUGGGGAGCAAACAGGAUUAGAAACCCUGGUAGUCC